GUUCUCACUUAGGUAGCACAUAUGCUGAAAUUGGAACAAUACCAAGAUUGCCAUGAACCCUGUGCAAAGAUGACCUGGAAAUUCAUGAAGCAUUUCAUAUUUAA
ensembl:snRNA U6 U6 spliceosomal RNA